GUGGAAUUUCCAGCUUCUAUAAGCCAACUACACUUCACAUCCAGUGAGUAGUUACCAAUACCAUCAGAAAUGAAGCCAGAAGUUCCAUUUAACCUGAAAUUAAAUUGAACUAAAUAAUAAGGAACAAACAUAUAAGUAAACUAGAUGUCUUCACUGUGUCGUAACAAAACAACUAUGGUACCAGUACUUAAUAUGUGGUGGUCACUCACUUGACUUUUCCACCGCAAUACUGGCACUGCGGACCUUGCCAUCCAUCAUGGCACAGGCACGUUCCAUUAAGACAGAUGCCAUUGCCACACUCGACGUCUUUACACCGGUCCAGUGAACAUUGUGCCACAGAUACCAUACCAAAAACGAGUACCAGUAACAGAGCAAAAUUGGUAACAGUCGUAGUCGUCAUUGUUGGGACAAUCCGUUUUCGUCGAUAUUUGGACUUGAAAAGGAACAAAAACAUGUCAAACAAGUCAUUUUUCAUGACGUGCAGCAAUCGUCGUCGUCUGACCGAAUUACUGAAUGUUUCGCGACGGCGAACUCGAGUGUUCCGAAUCUAGACGAUCUCGUUGUUAUCUCACUCCAUCACUCUCUAAUCACGUCAGAUUGUCGUCUUCGUCGCACGCGCGCAUACGCAAGCAGAAAACACAGUCAUCAGUUGUUACUGUGGCUUAAGGAUUAAGAUAAUGUAGUCACCCAUCUAUACUUCCUAUUAACUAAAUUCCCUUGAUCUAAAC